rnacentral:tRNA from 1 species
GCGCCCGUAGCUCAGCCCGGAUAGAGCGUCUGACUACGGAUCAGAAGGCCACAGGUUCGAAUCCUGUCGGGCGCACCA